GAUUUUGGUGGUAAUACACAUGGAUAAAUGGAUUUUAUGGUAUUACUUUAAUACCAUUAUAUCAAAAAC
rnacentral:ribozyme from 1 species